rnacentral:rRNA from 1 species
UACGUAGGAUGCGAGCGUUAUCCGGAUUUAUUGGGUUUAAAGGGUGCGUAGGCGGAUCGUUAAGUCAGUGGUCAAAUUGAGGGGCUCAACCCCUUCCCGCCAUUGAAACUGGCGAUCUUGAGUGGAAGAGAAGUAUGCGGAAUGCGUGGUGUAGCGGUGAAAUGCAUAGAUAUCACGCAGAACCCCGAUUGCGAAGGCAGCAUGCCGGCUUCCUGCUGACGCUGAAGCACGAAAGCGUGGGGAUCGAACAGG